CGACUCACCUGAUUUGGCCCCUUAUGACUUUUUUCUUUACCUGAAAAUAAAGGCAAUAUUGAAAGGAAGACAUUUUGAUGGCAUUCAGGACAUAAAUAGUAAUACAAUGAGAACUCUGAUGGCUGUUCCAGAAGAGUUUCUAAAUUGCUUUGAAGGGUGGACUAGGCACUGGCAUCAGUGUAUAGCUUCCCAAGGGUGACUACAGUGAUAUUCAGCAGGAAGAGUAUGAGCACCUUCCUGGGCCGCUGGGCACCUGUUUGGAGUGCUGGAGCCGCUGGGGGGCUCACUGCGUGGCGGGUGCAGACUUGGCGCCCCAGCCUUUGCCCUCGGGACACGGACACCGCCCCCCGGGGCUUCAGGGCACAGGGCCACUCGGAGGGAAACGUACCCCGAAGUCGCCUGUUCGCCGGCCCCUCCGCCCGCGAGAGCCAGCCAGAGCCUGACACAGCCCUGCACUGCCCAGGAACGAGAGGCCGCGCAAUCUGUGAUUCUAUUUUUGUAAGAAAUGUUAUUUUAGUUAUUGAAAAUAAAAGGUGGACCUGG